GGGGGUGUAGCUCAGCUGGUCAGAGCACCUGCCCUGCAAGCAGGGGGUCGUGAGUUCGAAUCUCUUCACCUCCACCA
rnacentral:tRNA from 1 species